AAAAUUAGCUGGCAGGGGAGACGCCAUGUUUAGGCAGGUGCUUUUCACAUCGCGAGGCUCAUCUCCUGCACUCCAGGUGUGCUGAUCUCUGUGAUUUUCCCAAAUGAGGGAAACUUGCUGUGUAAUUUGUGGUAGUGGGGGACUGCAUUCAGCUCUCCCCUG
rnacentral:snRNA from 1 species